rnacentral:rRNA from 1 species
AUAUGGAGGGUGCAAGCGUUAUCCGGAAUCAUUGGGUUUAAAGGGUCCGCAGGCGGAUUAAUAAGUCAGUGGUGAAAUCCUCUCGCUCAACGAGAGAACUGCCAUUGAAACUGUUAGUCUUGAAUUCGGUCGAAGUAGGCGGAAUGUGUCAUGUAGCGGUGAAAUGCAUAGAUAUGACACAGAACACCGAUAGCGAAGGCAGCUUACUAGACCUGGAUUGACGCUCAUGGACGAAAGCGUGGGGAGCGAACAGGAUUAGAAACCCUAGUAGUCC